rnacentral:lncRNA from 1 species
GCUUUCCAUGAAAAAGCCCCUCUAAUCUUCAGAACAAUCCUGUGAGAACUGGCUGAAGUUUACUUUUUGGUACUCCAGAGACCUAGCUGCUUCUUGCCUUCUUCCAGUGUGGUCUAUUUAAUCUCCUGUCUUGUGGGAAAUUAUAUUCAAAAUUUCUGUGAUCCUCUGUCCAUAGUAAGUUACGCAUGUAGUGACAAAUGCAUGCCACAAGGUCUUGAGAUUAUAUCUGCAAUGUGUUGCUGCUGGCUGUUGAUCAAGAUAGGCUGGAAGAAAAACAUUUAUCAAAUAAUUCUUCUUGCAUUUUUCCCAAGACGUUGUAGCGUAUUUAAACUUGGGAGGUGAAGUUUGUAGCAUUCAUUAUGACUGAAAAUUUAGUUCACACAAUCAUGAUGCUCUAUUAGGUGUUACCAUUAAAUAAUAUUAAAAUACA